rnacentral:lncRNA from 10 species
CAGAGUCUCGCUUUGUCACCAGGCUAGAGUGCAGUGGUGCAAUCUCGGCUCACUGCAACCUCCGUCUCCCAGAUUCAAGCGGUUCUCCUGCCUCAGCCUCCUCCCCAGUAGCUGGGACUACAGGCUCGCCUCACCAUGCCCAGUGAAAAUAACCUGAUACGAGAUGGUCAUGGAUGUGGCCCACUGAACUCACCAUGCCUCACAUUCCCACCUGUGAACAGCAAGGGAGGAAUAAUAUUAUAGAUAAGACACUUGUUUUUGGAAUGGAGCACAGCUGCUGUGUAAUGGCCCAGAGGAACCCCAGCCUGAGACCAGAAGUGAAGGAGAAUCCCUGCCUCACUCAAUCUGAAAGGGAAAUCAAAGCAAGCAGAUUCUAGUGUCCCAAGCAUCAGGACAAGCCAGUCAGGAGGACUAACAUCCCUUCUCUCAAUGACAUUAUGCCAAGAGUUUUUGUUUUGUUUUGUUAUUUUUUAAAAUGAGCAACAGCCUUCAGAUCCCGAGUUUAAAGGCCUGAUGCAGGCCUGAGUCAUUGGCACUGCUCUGUAACUCCUCUCUGUUGCAGGUGUGCUGCCGGGCUCCUCUGGGUCCAGCCCAAACGCCCUCCCCUUCCUCCUCACUCCCCUCUCUCCACCUGACAAUUGUAAAAUUUAAGGAGCAGAUCCUCUCAGGGUGGUAUAGCUUCAGGCACAUGAAUUCUUUCCGGGGCUCUUUGAGCUUGGAAGCAGUUUAAAGGUAAGAAGGUUUGAAGAGUGAAUGAGUUCCCAAGAAUAAACAUGUUUC